rnacentral:tRNA from 1 species
GCGGGAGUGGCGAAAAUGGUAGACGCACCAGAUUUAGGUUCUGGCACUUUUAAGUUUGCGAGUUCAAAUCUCGCCUCCCGCACCA